UACGGGGGGGCAAGCGUUGUUCGGAAUUACUGGGCGUAAAGGCUUGUAGGUGGCCAACUAAGUCAGACGUGAAAUCCCUCGGCUUAACCGGGGAACUGCGUCUGAUACUGGAUGGCGUUGAGUUUGGGAGAGGGAUGCGGAAUUCCAGGUGUAGCGGUGAAAUGCGUAGAUAUCUGGAGGAACACCGGUGGCGAAGGCGGCAUCCUGGACCAAUACUGACACUGAAAAGCGAAAGCCAGGGGAGCAAACGGG
rnacentral:rRNA from 1 species